rnacentral:rRNA from 1 species
CCCGGCACAAGCAGCGGAGCGUGUGGUUUAAUUCGAUGAUACACGAAGAACCUUACCCAGGCUUGACAUGGUUGGUAGUAGGGAUCCGAAAGGUGACCGACCCUUCGGGGAGCCUUCACAGGUGCUGCAUGGCUGUCGUCAGCUCGUGUCGUGAGAUGUCCGGUUAAGUCCGGUAACGAGCGCAACCCUCGCUGUGUGUUAUAUGUGUCACACGGGACUGCCGGUAUCAAGCCGGAGGAAGGUGGGGAUGACGUCAAGUCAGCAUGGCCUUUAUGUCUGGGGCUACACACACGCUACAAUGGCCAGUACAAUAGGUUGCAAGACCGCGAGGUGGAGCCAAUCCUUAAAGCUGGUCUCAGUUCGGAUUGCAGGCUGCAACUCGCCUGCAUGAAGUCGGAGUUGCUAGUAACCGCGCGUCAGCUAUAGUGCGGUGAAUACGUUCCCGGGCCUU